GGAAGUAGAACAUUUAUGUCAACACCGGUUUCGUAUUUUCACGUGAAAACGGCCGAAACUGAGAGGUUAUCAACAAAUUAUAAGUUUACGGGUACCAUGAGGAUUUUUCAUGCAUUUAAACGAAAGAAGUACAAGCGAACAGAUGACACAUUAAAGUGGCUGCAGAAGCUUGAAAAGUGCAGGGGCAGUCAAAACAGUGGGAUAAUACUGCUAUGGUGUCCCAACAUGUCUAGUCAGGUUGACAGAAGUGAAAGAUGGUCUGAUGGUACAAUGAUGUACAAAUGAUACUCUUUAACAAGUUUAACAUGUCAAGGUGUAAAAUGUUCUGUGGAUUCAUAUGAUGAGAAUGCCAGUGUUGAUCUGUAUGACUUAAUUAAACACAGAUAUUGAUACCUUCAGAUAUAUACCUGUGAAAUUUCAGUGUCACCGUUCAGCUAUUGUUCAAGAUCAGUGUCUGCAGCUUGCACAGUUUAGUAUAGAGGAGCCUUCUGAAUCAACUUUGUUACAUAUUUGCUGUUAUUGUAGGACACACAUGUAGAGAGCAGCAAGUCCUGUCCAGCCGUGCAUGUAAUUGUGAUUCAGAAACUUUGAGAAUAUGUUAACAUUACACUGUUAUAAUUUUCAAAAUACUGUGUCUUGUAGUGUAUCAGUACUGUUUUGUCUCAGUUUAUAGCACAGUAUGUGCACAGAUCAAACUUAAGACCAUAGUGAUCAGUAUUAUUAAAAUCAUUAAUUAUUUGUAUGGUGACAAAAUUUAAUUUCAUGCAAUACCACAGCAAAACGUUUGCUAAUUUUCGCUUUUAAAAUUGUAAGUUUAAGGUUGGCAUAAAUUGUUUUUUUCUUUCAUAAAUCUAAAAAGUGAUUGGUCAUUAUAACUGCAAUAUCAUUUUAGUAUGACAAAGUUUAUAUUGUUUAUCGUACUUGUCAUGGCCCAUAACUCCUCCAUAUUACUUGUGUUUUGUCCUUUUUCAUUUCACUGAAGAAUAGGUAGAGGUAUUGCACAUCCAUUUUUUAGAAUCCUGAUUUUUAAAGUGUUGUAUGUAAGGUUUUAUCUCGGAAUUAUGUCUCAUCUAAAGGUGGGGAGAGGUAUUAAUUAUGCCUUCUCGUCUAUCCGCAUUAAGCCUGUCUGGCUUUAAGAGGACAAGCUGCUGGCCAGAUUUUGAUGAAACUUCACAGGACUGAUCAGUACCAAGCAUAGUUUUGUGCAUAUCGCUUGCAUGUUUCGUUUUGAUGCACUAAAUUGCAGCCAGAGCUAAAAAUAAAAAGAUCUUGUCGGCUUUCACAGGUUAAAAAUACUUAACAGAUUUUGAUGAAACCUUACAGGAGUGAUCAGUACCAAGUAUAUUUUUGCAUAUCACCGACAAUUUCCAUUUUGCUGCACAAAAUAGCCGCCACAGCUAAAGGUAUACAUAGGUGGGAGACAUGUUUUGUCAUAAAAAUACCUAAAACACCUUCCACUUUGUUAAUGAAAAAUGUAACAAACUUCUUACAGUUGCAAACUGUAAUAAUUUGACAUUAAAUGCACUAGUUCCAUAACUGCAUUUGGCUUUUUUCAUAAUUACUGCCCUUUUCUUACCAUAGCAAUAUUUUGUGUAACAUGUUACCUCAUUAAGCAUCAUAAGAUCAGAAAUUUCUAUGACUCAGAAAUGUUGGCCCUUUGUACUUGUCAUGAGUAUGUUUUCAGUAUUUUAAAUUGUCAUUACUUUUUGUUGUGCCAGUUUACGGAAAUGAAGACUUAGUUGUCCAAAUGGUGUGCCUGUGCCUGUCCUGAUUUGUUUGUCUGGACAAUAUAUUAUUGAUUAGUCUUCACGAAGCUUUGCAGGUUAAUUUCCUUAAGUUCCCUGUCAACUUUGAUAGUGGCAUGGUUACUUUAGAAACACUAAAGUGAUGUCACCACUGUACUAGUCAAACGUUUUGUAUUUCAGAUUUUAUAUCACAUUACAGGCUACUGGUCUUUAGCAGCCUCCAUAAAACUUUCAUAAAAGUUUCCAAAAAUGUUGUAUUUUGAUUUGAACUGGCAUUAUUCAAACAGUAAGAAGUAGUACUAUAAGGCAACAUUUGACCUCUUUUCCAGUGCUUUUUGAUUUUCUCUGUUACUUUGAAGUUGCCUUUUCCUAGAAAUUGAUUGGCUUAUUUUUGAUGAUCUUAUGUUUUUAAUCAAUUGUAGCUAUGCUCUUUAUCUCAUGAAAAUUUCCAUUUUUAUAUAAUUCAUCUUUUUUACUGUCAACAAAGUGCAAUACCACAUACUUAUCACUUUCAUUAACAUACCUGUACUAUUUUCAUAAAACAUUAUAUCAAUCAUUAUAUUUCAUAUAAACAGAAUUAAAUAAAUAUUUAAGAACAUCAGUGUUUUCUUUGAUUGCUACAUGAAACAGACCAUAGGUCAAUUUAGGGUCAAUUCUGACACUUUAUAUGCAAAUUGAUAAGGGAGAUAACUAGUACUGUCUUAAGUAACCAAUAUUUAGUUACACAGUUACCUUCCCUUUACACAGGCAGGACUAUUUGUUGUUGAUC